GUGCUUAGCACCACGCGGUAGGCUGCCAGGGUCGGUCAAGCCCGUGGGUGCCGUGGCCCGAUUUUAGGGGAGGGCUGGCGAGGCGGCGGUGGGGAUGGCAGGUGGCGGCGAGGAAGAGAGGGUGGUUGGAGUGAGCUCGAGAGCUUCGCCGCGUCGAUCCCAAUCGAGGCCGGUGCUUGGGGGGAUUUGGGAUGGUGAGAGGGUGGCGGUAGUGGCUGAGGAUGUUCCGUUAAAUCGGCGACGCGGAGCAGCGGGCGAAGCUAGGCCCCGAUCCCAAGGCGCCAAGAUUCAGGGCAAGCCCGCGGCCCCACCACCACCAGAGCCCGCCGCCAUACCGCCCGAUGCUCCUCCUCUUGGACUUGCGGUACUUGCCGAUACUCCUCCUGCUCCUCCACCUCCUCCUCCAGCUUCUCCUCCACCUCCUCCACCUCCUCCUUCUCCUCCUCCUCCUCUCCGGGCGGCGGCUCCCUAGAGCUCUACCUCCUCCACCUCCCCUCCGGCAGCCAUCGCCUCUCCGACCACCGCACGUUCCGCCAUCCCUGCACGGACGGCUCGGGCGGCUGCCCAGGCCCUUUUAAAAGCAACCCCCACAUCGGACCCUCUGUUGGCUUCUUUUUAAGUCGUUCGUAAAAGUCUUUAUACCUCGAUAUUGACUAAGACACUAGUACUUUCUGUUCGUAUGGCCCUACGGAGCACCUAAACCUAAACAAUGUAAAAGACUAGGUAGACACUAACUAUCCCAAGACCUCCUACUUGUAUGAUAUCUACCUUCUUGCCAACUUCAGUUUUCUUGACACGGAUCUCUCCUCUACAGUUGUUUUCUACGAGGAUUGUUCUGUUCUUUCUAGAAACAACCACCGUAAGGUCGUAGAGAUUGACUUCUAUUCAAUUUCCUCGUGAAGAGGAGUAUACCGUUCCACCGACUCGUAGUUUAGUACCAACUGGUAUCGUGACCGGCAAGUGCUCCGAAACCGAAACAAUGGAAGCUUUCACUCCUGCGACAACUUUCCCAAUACAGUCUACCCUCUUACGUACUAGAACCUCCCUUCGUCCAACUUUAUUUUUCUCGGCUCGGUUUCUUUGGACCACCACCACUAAGUUCGAGAUUGUCAUCUGUAUCGGUACCUCCUCCACCGGUGGCAUCAAGUAUGGCGCCACCUCCACCACCACCACCACCACCACCUCCGGCAAGACGGUAGUCGUCGUCGUCACCAAUACCCAUACCUCGACUGAUGGCUAGUCGACGUCGACGGAUGAUACCAUCACGUCCUAUACCACGGAUGCCAUCUCCCAUACCACGUAUACCUCCAUUGGGACGGAUACCCAGUCCAAAACCGAGACGAAUACCACCAAGAUAUAUACCUCCGGGCAUACCACGGAUACCCCGUAUACCCCCACGGAUGCCUCCACCGCGUAUACCACGUGGACCGCCGAUACCACGUCCACGUCCGCCCAUACCACCGAUACCCCCUCGACCUUCGUACCCACCACCACCUUCACGCUCACCAGCUCCGAGCCCGUCCAUGGUGGGUAUGCCCUUUACUCAGGUGUCGACCAAGGAUCCUAGACUAUUAUUUGUGUAUGUGGGCGAGUAAAGACGAUACUCUUCAACGUUGUGGGGUAACCGAAACAACCUAGUCUUGUAAAACGUAAGAACGUAACGUGACCGUAACAUAGACUUGUGUUUAGAUCUAAGAUCAGUGACUUUUGACUUGGUCGGGCUCGAAGUCGAUUUUGUGACAACAUAAGUAAUCUUGGGAAAUUUUCAGCUUGGGUUGAAACACUAUCCUUGUUAUAGAUACACAACCAUGCUACUUAAUGCUACAUUGUCAGAGUGGUUCGUUGGAUUGAGAACCGUCUUAACUGAACGAGAUUAACCUGACACUGCAGAGAAAACGUAAAACCAGGACGGGUCGGCACGGC
rnacentral:rRNA from 1 species